AUGAGGGAGAGAGCUUAGAAGCAUAGAAAGAAAGGAGAACUCAAGUUCAUCAAUUUCCAUUUUCGCAACCCAUGAUACAGCUCCACUAAAUCAGCUUCUGUUUCGAAGGAGAAAACUGACCUUGAAGUUGUGUCAGUGAUGCUGAAAGUGGGUACAAGUGUGAUUACGGAUUUGAUGAAGAUGGAGUGAAACUUUGGCUAUGGUGGGAGUCCAAUGGCAGCAAACAUCAUCUUUCUAAACCUCCAUUUUAGCAAGGUGCAGUUAGUAGCGUUUGGUCAGUAACAGGUUUGGACUGAAGACUUGGAAGUGGUGUUGGC